UAAAGUGGUGUAAUGGCACACAGAUUUUUGGUGUCUGUGGAAGUUUUUUCGUAGGGCUCUUUACUA
rnacentral:tRNA from 1 species